rnacentral:rRNA from 1 species
GAUGAACGCGGGCGGCGUGCCUAACACAUGCAAGUCGAACGGAGAUUUAACGCUGAUGAGGCUUCGGCGGAUUCUUGUUAAAUUUUAGUGGCGGACGGGUGAGUAACGCGUGGGCAACCUGCCUCAUACUGGGGGAUAACAGUUGGAAACGACUGUUAAUACCGCAUAAGCGCACAGAGUCGCAUGACUCAGUGUGAAAAACUCCGGUGGUAUGAGAUGGGCCCGCGUCAGAUUAGCUAGUUGGUGGGGUAAAGGCCUACCAAGGCGACGAUCUGUAGCCGGACUGAGAGGUCGGACGGCCACAUUGGGACUGAGACACGGCCCAAACUCCUACGGGAGGCAGCAGUGGGGGAUAUUGCACAAUGGAGGAAACUCUGAUGCAGCGACGCCGCGUGAGUGAAGAAGUAUUUCGGUAUGUAAAGCUCUAUCAGCAGGGAAGAAAGGCUCGAAAGAGAGAUGACGGUA